UACAGAGGUCCCAAGCGUUGUUCGGAUUCACUGGGCGUAAAGGGUGCGUAGGUGGUUGGGUAAGUUUGAUGUGAAAUCUCCGGGCUUAACCCGGAAACUGCAUUGAAUACUAUCUGGCUAGAGGUUGGAGGGGGACUGGAAUACUUGGUGUAGCAGUGAAAUGCGUAGAUAUCAAGUGGAACACCAGUGGCGAAGGCGAGUCCCUGGACAACUCCUGACACUGAGGCACGAAAGCUAGGGAGCAAACAGG
rnacentral:rRNA from 1 species